AGGCAGCAGUGGGGAAUAUUGGACAAUGGGCGCAAGCCUGAUCCAGCCAUGCCGCGUGAGUGAUGAAGGCCUUAGGGUUGUAAAGCUCUUUUGCCGGGGACGAUAAUGACGGUACCCGGAGAAUAAGUCCCGGCUAACUUCGUGCCAGCAGCCGCGGUAAUACGAAGGGGACUAGCGUUGUUCGGAAUCACUGGGCGUAAAGCGCACGUAGGCGGAUUUGUAAGUCAGGGGUGAAAUCCCGGGGCUCAACCUCGGAACUGCCUUUGAUACUGCGGAUCUCGAGUCCGAUAGAGGUGGGUGGAAUUCCUAGUGUAGAGGUGAAAUUCGUAGAUAUUAGGAAGAACACCGGUGGCGAAGGCGGCCCACUGGAUCGGUACUGACGCUGAG
rnacentral:rRNA from 1 species